rnacentral:rRNA from 1 species
AAUCAACGCUGGCGGCGUGCCUCAGACAUACAAGUCGAACGCGAAAGGUUCCUUCGGGAACCGAGUAGAGUGGCGCACGGGUGAGUAACACGUAGGUAAUUUGCCUUUGGGUGGGGAAUAACAGCCGGAAACGGCUGCUAAUACCGCAUAAUGCAGCGGCUCGACAUCGAGACAGUUGUUAAAGCGGGGGAUCGCAAGACCUCGCGCCUAAAGAGAAGCCUGCGGCAGAUAGCUAGUUGGUAGGGUAAUGGCCUACCAAGGCGACGAUCUGUAACCGGCCUGAGAGGGCGGUCGGUCACACUGACACUGACAUACGGGUCAGACUCCUACGGGAGGCAGCAGUCGGGAAUUUUGGGCAAUGGGCGAAGCCUGACCCAGCAACGCCGCGUGAAGGAUGAAAUCCCUCGGGAUGUAAACUUCGCAAGAAUGGGAAGAAUAAGUGUGGGCUAAUACCCUUCAUGAUGACGGUACCAUUUGUAAGCUCCGGCUAACUUCGUG